GACGAACGCUGGCGGCGUGCUUAACACAUGCAAGUCGAACGGAAAGGCCCCUUUGGGGGUACUCGAGUGGCGAACGGGUGAGUAACACGUGAGUAACCUGCCCUUGACUUCGGGAUAACUUCAGGAAACUGGGGCUAAUACCGGAUAGGAAUCCUUGCUGCAUGGUGGGGGUUGGAAAGCUUCGGCGGUUUUGGAUGGACUCGCGGCUUAUCAGCUUGUUGGUGGGGUAGUGGCUUACCAAGGCUUUGACGGGUAGCCGGCCUGAGAGGGCGACCGGCCACAGUGGGACUGAGAUACGGCCCAGACUCCUACGGGAGGCAGCAGUGGGGAAUAUUGCACAAUGGGCGGAAGCCGGAUGCAGCAACGCCGCGUGCGGGAUGACGGCCUUCGGGUUGUAAACCGCUUUCAGCAGGGGCGAAGCUUGUGGUGACGGUACCUGCAGAAGAAGCACCGGCUAACUACGUG
rnacentral:rRNA from 1 species